rnacentral:lncRNA from 1 species
GUCUGCUUCCUCAGCCUCCAGUGACUCUGAAGAUGAAGGUGAGUAUUCCCAGGAGUCACCACUUGGACGCAGUGUCUCCAGGAAGAGGUAUGUAGACGGUUCUGAGGAACCUGCAUCGUCCGACUCUGACAGUCACUGUGAGCCUGGGACGAAGAGGCCGAGACGGGACGACAGCUCUGACUCAUCUUAGAGUCAUCUGUGCUUUUCCUUUUCCUGCUCCUCUCCAUCUAUGAGCAGAGUUCCCCGUUUGUACCCGGCUUCCACAGCUAGUCCUUGCAUCUGGUGGGAUUAGUUCAGCCUUUGGCUACUUUGACACAAACCAAGGCUGUCCAUUUGAGUGUCCAUGUGUGUUUGUCCAGUGCGUCUUGUACCUGGGCUCUUUUGUAAAUAGUUGUUUCAGGUAAGUUGGCCUUUGCGUCUUGCGGGACGACUGAUGUCCCAGGCAAUGACUGGUACCAGUACUUUUUUAAAUGGUAUGGAUUUUAUUUUUUGUUUCUUUAUGACUGACCACAGUCGGAGUGGUUGUCCUGUCACUGUUAUGAAAACAUGCAUAAUAUAUUAGGCUGAGUUAGGUUAGAAUGAAGAAUUAGAGAUAACCUUUUUAAUCCCAGCAAGUGAGGACAGGAGGAGACAUCAACAGAGGACAGAGACUAAAGAAUACUUCUUUAUCAACCACAACAAUGAGCACCAGCAUCCACAGCUGCCUGAGGAGGAAACAUCAGCAGAAAGCAAAACAAUUAAUGUAAGUAAAGUCUCUCCUUGGCACAAAAAUACACUGAACUAAUGUUUAAUGUAAAAAUAGAGGUGAUUUUAUACUAAUGCCUGUAAAAUGUUGGACUGGAACAACGGCAUCCACUGAUGGAGGAUGAGGAUGAUGAAGAUGGAGGACAGGAGCACCAGUAUCCACAGCAUCCUGAGGAGGAAACACCAACAGAGGACAGAAAGACUUCUAUUAACCAAAACAAUACAGGAGUGCCAGCAUCCACUGAUGGAGGAGGAGGAUGAAGAUGGAGGACAGGAGCACCAGCAUCCACAGCAUCCUGAGGAGGAAACAUCAGCAGAGGACAGAAAGACUUCUAUUAACCAAAACAAUCAAUGUAAGUAAAGCCUCUCAUUUACACAGAACAAAUCUGAACACGUUUAAUGUAAAAAUAAAGAUGACUUUUAUACUAAUGACUGUGAAUUG